CUGUGCACAUGGAGAGAGAGAGAGAGAUCCGGUGUCUUUUUCUCUUCUUACGAGUCCAUCCGCACUGUCAGAUGAGGGCUCUGCUCUUAUGACCAAAUUAUUUCAUGUUAAUUAUUUCUCUAAAAGGCCCUCUCUCCAGACGCAGAGGCAUGGGGCAUUAGGGGAACACAGUCUAUUCUGUAACAUUAUACCAAACACAGGAGAGGUUCAUGGAAGUGCCAUUUUGCUUCCUGGGUAGUCUUAUUACGCCCAUGCCACCAGCUCACGUGCACAAACUUCCCGUCUCUGCCAGUUGGACCUGGUCUUCCUUAUCUGCAAAAGUCUGCAGCAUUUCAGUUUUAAAGCUAAAACUGAUUUUAAAUAAGAGAUGCGUAAAAGUAUCUGAAUUCAGCCAAGAUCGUGUUAUUUUUGGCCACCUUUGACUAAAUAACAAGAGAACGAAUUUUGACUUCAUUUUGUAAAGCAAAAGAAAAAACUUUGCACACCCCACUAAAGAACCUUCACGCCAAGUUUCAGCCUGGAGCCCGUGUUGAAACCAGAUUGCGACGCCCUAAGAUGUGGACGUUUGCGAGACGUGUAGCAUUUUCCCCGUGCGGCCAGCGCCCACUGUCAGGUUUCCUUGCUUCACUGGGCGCAAGCUGAAGGAGACUGAGUGCGGCUGCGUAAUUCCAGACGCGUGAGACUGUGCUUCCCGGGCAGUCGGCGCUUUGCAGCGUUCGCUGGGAAGAUGAUGAUUUCUACCUGGACGUGAAGACGGUGACGGGCACGGGCCUCUCAAAACACGGCGCGGCGUGCGACGCCGAACCUUGAAACAAUGGCUGUCUUUCAGUUUUCCAGUCUUUCAGACCGUGCUCCUAACGUUCAGAGCUUUGCAGAUGAGGUAUAGCGUCCAGAUUCCAAACUUCAAAGGCUUGAAAAAUAAACUGCAAACUAGCAAACUUUUCGUUUUCCUUCCAUUAUUUUUGUAACCUUUCCUUUUAAACACGUUUUUUUCCCUUGCAUUUGCCAUUUGCAGAUAAAGUUAGUAGUAUUGAAAUGACUCAUUUAAAAAUAAAUUUUAAAUGGGCUAAACUUUCUGUGAGUUGUACCAAAUGACAUAAAACUGUACAUUCCAGACAUUUUAUAGUUUCUGCUUUCUUGUCAUAAUAUUUUGACAUCUUCUAGUGAGCUUCACACUAAAAAGGUACCUGGGAGUUCCCGUCGUGGUGCAGUGGUUAACGAAUCCGACUAGGAACCAUGAGGUUGCGGGUUCGGUCCCUGCCCUUGCUCGGUGGGUUAAGGAUCCGGCGUUGCUGUGAGCUGUGGUGUAGGUUGCAGAUGCGGCUUGGAUCCCGCGUUGCUGUGCUGCCAGCCUACACCACGGCCACAGCAACACGGGGCCUGAGCCGUAUCUGCCACCUACAGCACAGCUCAGGGCAAUGCCGGAUCCUUAACCCACUGAGCGAGGCCAGCGAUCGAACCCGCAACUUCAUGGUUCCCAGUCCGCCGUGCCACGACGGGACCUCCGAAUACUAAGCUGACAGGCGAGGAGGGCGAUGGUGUUGGGAGGUUAUGAUUCUGCAGGAGGGGAGGGACCGGAAGGGGCCGAGUUUACAGCAUCGGAAAAGGCGGGAGGGGUCACAAGGCGAAGGUUCUAGAGGGCCCCGCAGACCCUCAGGAGCAGCUGGAGAUGAUGCGUCGGGACUGGCUGGAGGGAAGCCAAAUCUUGACCUUCCGUAUCCUUCGCUGCCCUUCCCCGUUCUAAACACGCUUCCAGGUUCUGAGGAACAUAAACCCGGUCCCCGCCCUGCCCUCUCUCUCUUGGGAGAGAGAAGGAGACUGAAUCCCAGGGAACACGUGGCUGGAGACGGGAAGAAAGCGCAAACCAACAGGGCCCAGCCAGCCCCGUCCCGGGGGAGCGGCUGCGGCUCCGGGGGGUUAACCCUCCGCGCACCGCCCCUGCCUGCAGGCCCAGGAGCGGGGCUUUGAGACCCGCAGCCCCAGGGCAGAGCAGGCGAGGCUUGUGCCUGCUGCAUAAACACUGUGCGAUUCACAUUCACGGCUCCGAGGCCUGCCGCUGGGCGGCUCGGCCGUAUUUCACACACACGAAUGUAAACGCCUCUUUCAUUCACAGCCAUCAUUUCUGGGAAGAAACAGAUCCUCUCUGAGGCUCGGAGGAGAGAGGAAUUUCCAAGGUUUGAGGGCCCCGGUUGCAAUUUCUUAAUUUAAAUGAGGAUACCUGAAAAUAAUUCAAGGUGCCUUAGAAAAGCCCAGACCAUUUUUGCGUCAUUUAAAAUGUGUAAGAGCUAAUGAUCAAAGGAAAAAAUAUCCAGUUUUUAUGUAACCGUAUCUCACACCUGAAUGGCAUCUGCUUAAAUAUUUACAAACAUGGCGCAAAGUACAAAUGAGAGGCCCUUUUUGAGCCCAGAUCUUUCCAGUCCCUUCCUACAAAAAGGGAGUCACAAGUGUGAGUCAUGGAAAGACCAUCAAAAUAUUCGUCGUUAUUUCCUUCAAACGAAAGGAACCAAGUAUUUUAAGAUUUUAAAAGUUCUCUGUGAAUUGCUUAUCAAUGUUUGAAGAAAGGAAAUAUGUGAUAAAUUUUCUCAAAGUAUUUUAAAAAUAAAUAUGCGUAAGUAUCUAAAUUAGGUACCAAGUGUCUCCAACUGUAUCUCAGGAUGUUGAACCGGAAGGCUCAGCUGGGAGGUGCGGUGGUGAGAUGCCCGGGCUGGAACUGUGCCCAAGGGGCAUGGGGCCUUCUCCUGCUGGCCACUUGCUGUCUUCGAGUUCCCACGAAGCCCGCUGCGGUGGAGAGACUAACCCCCGCCCCAGCCUGCCCCAGACACAGAGGGUCGGCGGAAGGCAGCAGUUGCCGUCCCUGAGCUCCUGAAUCCUCUUUUUGCUGAUCUCGCGCCCGUCAUAGUCAUCAAUAAGGCUCCCUCACCCUGGGUGGCUAGCGUCUGGCCUCACAUCCCCCAGACCCUCGCACUGCAGGGUGGGUGCUCAGCGAGGGCGGCUGGAGACGUGGCUCGGCACCCCGCACUGGCAUACCUGCCUGCUGAGGCCGCAUCUGGACAGUCGAGAGAAGGUGACCCCUGCCUCGCUCUCGGAUACAGAGAUGUUCUCUCUUCCACCGAGAGGAUUUCAGGGUCAACAUUCUAGAAGAGGCUGUGGAAGAGGCGGUAGAGAGCUAGGUCUUGAAGCCGUGUUGGAAAAGCCUGUCCACUGAAUUUCUCUGAGGUCGUGUUGGGUUUGGGGCAGGUGCCCACUGGGCACCUCUCUUGCCAGAUAAGCCAGCACGUGGUAGCUUGAAAUUGGCCACGCUUGAGAUUGGCCACUAAUGCCUUUACACCAUGUAUGCUGGCAAAUGCUGUCACUCUCUCCUCCACCCACCCAGCCGGGCUUGGGGAUAUUGACCAUGACUCCAGCAGAGCAGUUAAAGCCAUUCGAAGCCAAUGCCUUGGUGGUACCUGUCUCUUAACCGCUUCCUAAAAUGCUAACCUUGCCUCAAUUUUCUCUUUUUUCUUGCAUCUUCAUUUUGGUGUAGAUUCCCCUCCAGACAAAGCCACUGCUCCCUUUGCAAUUUUGCCCAUUCUGUCUCUCUUGUAAAAUCAUUUGCCUCCUGAAUCUCUUCCCAGAAAGCUCCCCAAUUCUUGCCUUGUCUCAGCCCGGCAGGCUUGGAAGCCCGCAACUUUGCCUAUAUUUACAUCCCCCUCGUUCAACAGGUAGGAGAAUGUUUUGCUUUCGUGUGCCCUCCAACACUGGAGUAUGAUGGAGAGACUAAAUAACGUAGCUCUAAAAGCCAAGUGAUAUGAUACAAGUAUGGAUGAGAGUCAGCUUACAGAAAGAAAAAGUCGAUACCCCAUCGGCAUUGUGUUACCUGUUUUGUGUGUGUUUGUUUUUUGUCCUUAUGUGUAAUCCAGAUUUUUCUCUUACAAAAUAAGAUUGAACAAAAGAAAUGUGACCACUGUAGGUGUCUGUAAUAGGAGAAGAUCGUGAGACCCUGAGUGAGCAUUGCGCCUUGGCUGGCUUUGGAAAACUCAUGGGCAAAUGUGGCUUAGAAAAGGAUGUUAUUUCUAGAUACCGCUUGGGGCUCCUCUCUUAUUAUUCUUUAUCUCAGUGACUGGGCUUACCACGUAAGUUCUGAAUGACUGAUAAAAAGUCCUCAGCAAAAAUCCUCUCGUAAGUGUGGUACAUAUUUAGAAACUAAAAUGCUAGGCCAGUGGUUCUCAAUAUGCGUCCCUGACCAGCAAUGCCAUGGCCACGGGGGAGCGCGUUAGACAUGCAGAUUCCCCGGCUGCACCUCGCGUCUCCUGAAUCAGAAGCUCUGAUGGAGGGCAGGGCCUGUGAUCUUUGUUUUUCGCAAUCCGCCAGGUGAUUGAUGCCUGCUGGUCUUGAGCAUCACUCCUCUGGGCUCUGGCCACAGAGUUGAUUGCCAAUGCAGUGCUUCUUUUUAUCGGAAAUGGGAUUUAGAGUAGUAAGAUGUGCGUAGGUAUUUAUGAUAAAAUGCGGAAGUGUUUACUAUUUCUGUGCCUGAGGCAAGCUACUAAGUUUUCUUACCAUUAAGUGGGAGUAAUAACAGUAUAUAAUUAAAAGACACUUUGUGUGAAAACAUAAAAUUAUGCAUUGUUAUGUAUUUAACAUGAAUAAUAAUAAUAAUAAUACUACUAUCAACAAUAGCCAACAAUAUAUAGAAGAUACUAGGUUGGGAAAGGGCAUCAUUUCCUACGUUAUUUGUCGAUUUCCAAUCAAAGAGAGCAGGUGAGAAAUUUCCUUUACAAGUUUAAUGGCAGGGAAAGUAUUUUAUUAUUCUUCAGGAAAAAAGUGCUGUCAUUCAUUUCUGUUAAUGAGAAUUAGGUAAUUUUUUAUGUGUUCAGUUUUACUUUGGUUACUGGGAUACUCAAGGCCUCAUUUGAUACUCAAUCCCAUCAAUUAUUUAAGGCUUCUUGUGCAGUAUAUUUCCCUCUCCUUUUUCAUGGUUCUUGUUAUCCAUUUUUUAAAGAUUUACCUUAUUUUUUAUAUGUUGCUACUAUAAGCUCCCUCACACUUUUUUUUUCCCUCGCCCAAGUGAAAAAU
rnacentral:lncRNA from 1 species